rnacentral:lncRNA from 1 species
AGUAGCAGCAGCCGCAACAGAAGGCUCUGCAAAAAGUCACCAACUGGGUGUGAGAACUACUGCAAAAAGUAGUCCUCAGUGGGUACCGCUACCGACCUCAACGGCUCGCCCACUAAGUCUGCAGAAUGAAAGCUCAAUGAUAGUAAAGGAACUGGAAACAAUCUACAGCUAUAUGCCAUUAUACUAUCAUGAUCCAACACUAACUAUCUGUAGAAUAAUGCAAUAUUUAACCCAAUCUCACUAGGGACUGUGAAUACACCUGUCCCGCCUGUCGAAGCUACAUUAACUGCCACCACGCUAGGUCAUCAGUGGAGAGCAAGUCCAAAUAAGACAAACUGACAUCAACGCAAAAGCACUAAGCCCGACUCCGGAGUGGCACUCAUGGGCGCUACCCAACCGAGUAUGCAAGCGUGUCUCUGCCGAGCUCAAUCAGGCUCUUACAGGCUAUAGUCAAAGCAGAAUGGUCAAACCACCAAAACUCACGUGCCCUCGGCACAAUCUGAUACAAAAACAGCAAACUGGGUCCACCGUCAACCUCAACGACACCCGACAGUCCGGAACAGUCUAAACACCGCUGUAAAAAUAAGCUCGGCAUCCCAGCACGAGCGUAAAUGCAUUCUACAUUAUUCUGGAUAUCCACCGCCUACAAACUGCGGCAAUACAAACAAACUACGGCUCCUAGAGCUAAAUCUGGUAGUUUCAGAAUAUGACGGUGUAGAAUCGAUAGUUUUCUCAUAAUUCAAUUUCAAGUCCAACAUGUAUAAUUUAGCUAAUAUUCUAAGCUCCAAUUUAGAUUUAAAAGCAUGCAAAUCCAAGAAUCGAGCUACUAAACAUGCUAAACAGAGCUAAAAACACAAGCUGUCAAUGUAUAGAAUUAGGAGAAAAUCCGUAGAAUCCGGUAAGCAUAACAUUAACCCACCUCGAAUGCUAAUCCACAACGGCAAGAAGUCGAUAGGAGAAGAAAUCCGCACUCGCCUGGCCUCCAACGGCGCUACCACGACGCACGUAGGCUCAACCGGCUCUCCGGCGCGAAGUCAACGUUGAUCCGAGCUCCAACCGCGACCUCCACCAUGUACGGCUCAAGCUAGAGAGAGGAAAUUAGAGAAGUGAAAUUCUUCAGCUAAUUAAGUUGAUACGUGUACUCAUAAAUAGAGUUGAUAAGCAUGGGGAUAGGUGAGAUCCUUAUCCACCACAAAAAUGACCAUCCUACCCUCACCAACUAAAACCAAGGAUACUAUCGAGACCCGAGGUUCGUUUCGCACUUUUGGAGAAGUCUUCAGAUAGCCUUGGGUAUACAGUUGCAUUUCAGCACAGCAUUUCACCCAUAGACGAAUGGUCAGUCGGAGAGGACUAUUCAGACUUUGGAGGACAUGCUGAGGGCAUGCGUCCUAGACUUUGGAGGAGGAUGGCAUCGACAUUUAAGACUAGCUGAGUUUGCGUACAACAACAGCUAUCAAACAAGCAUUCAGAUGGCUCCGUUUGAAGCGUUCUAUGGAUGCAAGUGUCGAUCCCUUUUACAUUGGAGUGAUGUGGGUGAAAGGAAGACUUUUGGACCUGAGAUUCUGAUAGAGGCUGAGGAAAAGGUUAAAGCUGUGCGACGACAUCUUUUGACAGCUCAAAGUCGACAGAGGAGCUACGCCGAUACCAGGAGACGAGACUUGGAGUUCCAAGUUGGAGAUCAUGUGUUUUUGAAAGUCUCGCCGUUCCGAGGGAUACGCAGAUUUGGAGUGCGUGGAAAGCUCAGUCCAUGCUUUGUAGGCCCUUUUGAGGUAUUGGAGUGAGUUGGGCCAGUUGCUUACAGGAUUGCUCUACCCCC